AUGAACGCUGGCGGCGUGCCUAAUACAUGCAAGUCGAGCGAACGGACGAGAAGCUUGCUUCUCUGAUGUUAGCGGCGGACGGGGGAGUAACACGUGGAUAACCUACCUAUAAGACUGGGAUAACUUCGGGAAACCGGAGCUAAUACCGGAUAAUAUUUUGAACCGCAUGGUUCAAAAGUGAAAGACGGUCUUGCUGUCACUUAUAGAUGGAUCCGCGCUGCAUUAGCUAGUUGGUAAGGUAACGGCGUACCAAGGCAACGAUGCAUAGCCGACCUGAGAGGGUGAUCGGCCACACUGGAACUGGGACACGGUCCAGACUCCUACGGGAGGCAGCAGUAGGGAAUCUUCCGCAGUGGGCGAAAGCCUGACGGAGCAACGCCGCGUGAGUGAUGAAGGUCUUCGGAUCGUAAAACUCUGUUAUUAGGGAAGAACAUAUGUGUAAGUAACUGUGCACAUCUUGACGGUACCUAAUCAGAAAGCCACGGCUAACUACGUG
rnacentral:rRNA from 1 species